AGUGAACGCUGGCGGUAGGCCUAACACAUGCAAGUCGAACGGCAGCACAGUAAGAGCUUGUUCUUACGGGUGGCGAGUGGCGGACGGGUGAGGAAUACAUCGGAAUCUACUUUUUCGUGGGGGAUAACGUAGGGAAACUUACGCUAAUACCGCAUACGACCUACGGGUGAAAGCAGGGGAUCUUCGGACCUUGCGCGAUUGAAUGAGCCGAUGUCGGAUUAGCUAGUUGGCGGGGUAAAGGCCCACCAAGGCGACGAUCCGUAGCUGGUCUGAGAGGAUGAUCAGCCACACUGGAACUGAGACGCGGUCCAGACUCCUACGGGAGGCAGCAGUGGGGAAUAUUGGACAAUGGGCGCAAGCCUGAUCCAGCCAUACCGCGUGGGUGAAGAAGGCCUUCGGGUUGUAAAGCCCUUUUGUUGGGAAAGAAAAGCAGCAGGUUAAUACCCCGCUGUUCUGACGGUACCCAAAGAAUAAGCACCGGCUAACUUCGUG
rnacentral:rRNA from 1 species